rnacentral:misc_RNA from 1 species
GAUAAGAACGCAGCGAAAUGCGAUACUUGGUGUGAAUUGCAGAAUCCCGUGAACCAUCGAGUCUUUGAACGCAAGUUGCGCCUCAAGCCAUUAGGUUGAGGGCACGUCUGCCUGGGCGUCACAUAUCGUUGCCUGAUGCCAGUUUCCUCGUGAUGGGUGACUGUGCAGGGCGAAUGAUGGCUUCCCGUGAGCAUUGUUGCCUCAUGGUUGGUUGAAAAUUGAGUCCUUGGUAGGGAGCGCCGUGAUAGAUGGUGGUUGAGUGACGAACGAGACCCAAUCAUGUGAGACCCCUACCGAAUUUGGCCUUCAUGACCCACAUGCGUCUUUGGAACGCUCAUGACGAGACCUCAGGUCAGGCGGGGCUACCCGCUGAGUUUAAGCAUAUCAAAAGCGGAGGA